UCGGGAAUUUUGGGCAAUGGGCGAAAGCCUGACCCAGCAACGCCGCGUGAAGGAUGAAGUAUUUCGGUAUGUAAACUUCGAAAGAAUAGGAAGAAUAAAUGACGGUACUAUUUAUAAGGUCCGGCUAACUACGUGCCAGCAGCCGCGGUAAUACGUAGGGACCAAGCGUUGUUCGGAUUUACUGGGCGUAAAGGGCGCGUAGGCGGCAUGACAAGUCACUUGUGAAAUCUCUGGGCUUAACCCAGAAUGGCCAAGUGAUACUGUCGCGCUAGAGUGCAGAAGGGGCAAUCGGAAUUCUUGGUGUAGCGGUGAAAUGCGUAGAUAUCAAGAGGAACACCUGAGGUGAAGACGGGUUGCUGGGCUGACACUGACGCUGAGGUGCGAAAGCUAGGGGAGCAAACGGGAAUUAGAUACCCAAGUAGUCCCUGAGCGGGCUGGCAAGGCGCAU
rnacentral:rRNA from 1 species